UUACUUACCUGGACGGGGUUGACGGCUGAUCAAGAACUAUCGUGGCCUAGAUCAAUGGCUCAUAUUGCAUCUGGUGAGUGCGUUGAUCUACCGUCUCUCCAAAUGGGAGGGUGGACGUCUUAAUUUGUGGUACCUGGGAUACGCCUUAGCGUGGCCCUUGC
rfam:Triticum aestivum genome assembly, contig: Triticum_aestivum_CS42_TGACv1_scaffold_603319_7DL